rnacentral:tRNA from 1 species
GGUGCCGUAGCCUAGUGGUUAAGGCGAUAGACUAGAAAUCUUUUGGACAUCCCGCGCAGGUUCGAAUCCUGCCGACGACG